rnacentral:rRNA from 1 species
CGUAGGGUGCGAGCGUUAAUCGGAAUUACUGGGCGUAAAGCGUGCGCAGGCGGUUUUGUAAGACAGAUGUGAAAUCCCCGGGCUCAACCUGGGACCUGCAUUUGUGACUGCAAGGCUAGAGUACGGUAGAGGGGGAUGGAAUUCCGCGUGUAGCAGUGAAAUGCGUAGAUAUGCGGGGGAACACCGAUGGCGAAGGCAAUCCCCUGGACCUGUACUGACGCUCAUGCACGAAAAGCGUGGGGAGCAAACAGGAUUAGAUACCCUGGUAGUCCACGCCCUAAACGAUGUCAACUGGUUGUUGGGUCUUUACUGACUCAGUAACGAAGCUAACGCGUGAAGUUGACCGCCUGGGGAGUACGGCCGCAAGGUUG